rnacentral:rRNA from 1 species
AGUAAAAGUCGUAACAAGGUCUCCGUAGGUGAACCUGCGGAGGGAUCAUUACAAGUGACCCCGGUUUACCACCGGGAUGUUCAUAACCCUUUGUUGUCCGACUCUGUUGCCUCCGGGGCGACCCUGCCUUCGGGCGGGGGCUCCGGGUGGACACUUCAAACUCUUGCGUAACUUUGCAGUCUGAGUAAACUUAAUUAAUAAAUUAAAACUUUUAACAACGGAUCUCUUGGUUCUGGCAUCGAUGAAGAACGCAGCGAAAUGCGAUAAGUAAUGUGAAUUGCAGAAUUCAGUGAAUCAUCGAAUCUUUGAACGCACAUUGCGCCCCCUGGUAUUCCGGGGGGCAUGCCUGUUCGAGCGUCAUUUCACCACUCAAGCCUCGCUUGGUAUUGGGCAACGCGGUCCGCCGCGUGCCUCAAAUCGACCGGCUGGGUCUUCUGUCCCCUAAGCGUUGUGGAAACUAUUCGCUAAAGGGUGCUCGGGAGGCUACGCCGUAAAACAACCCCAUUCCUAAGGUUGACCUCGGAUCAGGUAGGGAUACCCGCUGAACUUAAGCAUAUCAAUAAGCGGAGGAAAAGAAACCAACAGGGAUUGCCCUAGUAACG